rnacentral:rRNA from 1 species
GAUGAACGCUGGCGGCGUGCCUAAUACAUGCAAGUCGAGCGAACGGACGAGAAGCUUGCUUCUCUGAUGUUAGCGGCGGACGGGUGAGUAACACGUGGAUAACCUACCUAUAAGACUGGGAUAACUUCGGGAAACCGGAGCUAAUACCGGAUAAUCUUUUGAACCGCAUGGUUCAAAAGUGAAAGACGGUCUUGCUGUCACUUAUAGAUGGAUCCGCGCUGCAUUAGCUAGUUGGUAAGGUAACGGCUUACCAAGGCAACGAUGCAUAGCCGACCUGAGAGGGUGAUCGGCCGCACUGGAACUGAGACACGGUCCAGACUCCUACGAGAGGCAGCAGUAGGGAAUCUUCCGCAAUGGGCGAAAGCCUGACGGAGCAACGCCGCGUGAGUUAUGAAGGUCUUCGGAUCGUAAAACUCUGUUAUUAGGGAAGAACAUAUGUGUAAGUAACUGUGCACAUCUUGACGGUACCUAAUCAGAAAGCCACGGCUAACUACGUG